rnacentral:rRNA from 1 species
UUGCACGCUGGCGGCCGGCCUCACACCUGCAAGUCGAGCGGAUGAAGGGAGCUUGCUCCUGGAUUCAGCGGCGGACGGGUGAGUAAUGCCUAGGAAUCUGCCUGGUAGUGGGGGAUAACGUCCGGAAACGGGCGCUAAUACCGCAUACGUCCUGAGGGAGAAAGUGGGGGAUCUUCGGACCUCACGCUAUCAGAUGAGCCUAGGUCGGAUUAGCUAGUUGGUGGGGUAAAGGCCUACCAAGGCGACGAUCCGUAACUGGUCUGAGAGGAUGAUCAGUCACACUGGAACUGAGACACGGUCCAGACUCCUACGGGAGGCAGCAGUGGGGAAUAUUGGGCAAUGGGCGAAAGCCUGAUCCAGCCAUGCCGCGUGUGUGAAGAAGGUCUUCGGAUUGUAAAGCACUUUAAGUUGGGAGGAAGGGCAGUAAGUUAAUACCUUGCUGUUUUGACGUUACCAACAGAAUAAGCACCGGCUAACUUCGUG